rnacentral:rRNA from 1 species
CAGCAGCCGCGGUAAUACAGAGGGUGCAAGCGUUAAUCGGAUUUAUUGGGCGUAAAGGGCGCGUAGGCGGUUUGGCAAGUUUCGUGUGAAAUCUUCGGGCUCAACUCGAAGUCUGCACGGAAAACUGCCGGGCUUGAGUAUGGGAGAGGUGAGUGGAAUUUCCGGUGUAGCGGUGAUAUGCGUAGAUAUCGGAAGGAACACCUGUGGCGAAAGCGGCUCACUGGACCAUUACUGACGCUGAGGCGCGAAAGCUAGGGGAGCAAACAGGAUUAGAUACCCCUGUAGUCCCUGUCUCUUAUAU